rnacentral:tRNA from 2 species
GGGGGUGUAGCUCAGUGGUAGAGCGCGUGCUUAGCAUGCACGAGGCCCUGGGUUCAAUCCCCAGUACCUCCA